GACGAACGCUGGCGGCGUGCCUAAUACAUGCAAGUCGAACGCAGUGGGGACGGGUGAGUAACACGUGGGUAACCUCCCAUCAGAGGGGAUAACACUUGGAAACAGGUGCUCAACCGAUCCUGAUGGAUGAACCCGCGGUGGAUUUGCUAGUGGGUGAGGUACCGGUUAACCAAGGCCACGAUGCCUACCCGGCCAGCGAGGGGGUCAGACCACACGGGGACUGAGACAAGGCCCAGACUCCUACGGUAGGCAGCUGUAGGGAAUCUUCAGCGAUUGACGAAAGUCUGACCGAGCAACGCCGCGUGAGUGAAGAAGGUUUUCGGAUCGUAAAACACUGUUGUUAGAGAAGCGGUAUCUAACCAGAAAGCCACGGCUAACUACGUGCCAGCAGCCGCGGUAAUAC
rnacentral:rRNA from 1 species